GCCCUGGGUGCGCGGUCGCCUAGGCUGAGUCAGUCCGCAAAGGGUUAGGGCGCGGUGCCUGACGGCGCCGUCUCAGGACGCUUCUCAGCCCCCGCGUGCCCACUGUACACACGAAGAACCCAAGCACCUGCGUGGUCCUCACGCCCUGUCCUGAGUGGAGCAGUGUAGGGUCUGCUGCACCUGCUGAAUGUGGCUAUGCAAGCCAUGGCCAUGGAGGAGGGGACUCAACACCCGGCUUCAAUCCAGGAGCAAAUGGCACUCAGAAGAAGUGGCCCCAGCUGCCCUAGCUGAAUCUGGGCCGGUGGAUCCACGCCAUCCCAAGGAAGGGGCACAGGGGACAUCUUUCUGCCAAGGGGAAGCAGGGACCAAACCACAGCAGCCUCCUCCAGUUGAGCUGAAAAGAGCCUGUGUCGUCUCCCAAGAACCCCGGGCCCCGUGGCCUCCAUGUCAACUUUCUCCCUUGAGCUCAUGUCUCAGUUCACAGUGGGAGGUGCAUGCCACUCUUACAAAGGGCACUCUGGGAGAGCGCCAGGGACACCAUCCCCCCCGCCCGCAGCAGAGACCAUGCCUCGUGGUGGGAGGAGGGGUGACAGGUUAGCCAGGAGGGCAGCGACCCCUGCCCAGGCCCCAUGGCACCACCUUACACACUCUACCAGCUCCCUGGAAGCCCCGAGUUCACCCACGAAGGGACCAGAAGAGUCUGUGACGCUCUGGGGCCCCAAAGCCUGGGGCAGGAGCCCCUCCCUCAGUGCCUUCUCCUCCAAGGGUCACCAAGCGAUACCAGGACGGCCCGACACCCUGUCCCUGUGGGCUGGACAGGGCCCAGCAGACAGGAGCAAAGUUAGCCCAGGGCCCAGAUCACAGUGGAGAAGCCCUUGGGGCUCCUCAGGUCCAGCACCUGCGUUGGGUAAACUGAGUUUCGGUCAUCCUACCCAGAGCAGGUGCUGGGAGGGGCCCUCUCCCUUUAUGAAGGGGUCUGCAGGUGAGGGCAACCCUGCCCCUCCCCUCCACACCCCUGUGCUGUUGCCCAUGACCUCCACAGGCUGUCCAUGUUGCUCAGUCACCUGAUGCUUUGCAACACAACCCUGCGGUGGCCCACACUCUCCACUCGCUACCUUCUCCCCGUCCCCAUCUGAGUCCUGUGGCGUCACCCCUUCCUGCACUCUGGCCCCUCCCCUGCCACGACUUCUCUGCCCCCUCCUGGGCCUUUCUCAGGGACCGGUGGUCCUCAAGCUCCUGUCCCUGUGACUCCCUGCCCCUGCCAUUCUCUGAUGGCCUCAUCCACCCCUUGGCUUCCCCCCUGUGCUGGGUGCUGAAUCUGUCUCUCUGGCCUUGUCCCUUGCUGGGCUGUGGUCCCAGGAGGCAGCAGCCUCUGCCACUGCCCCCUGUGAUGUCCAAGUCCUCCCAGACUAGCUCCUUCCUCCUGUGGAGAAGGCCCUGCACCUCUUAUCCCGGUGAAUAAUGUCCUGCAGCUUCUACUUCCUUCAACAACUCGUCCGUGGCCCGGCCCUCUCUCCUGCAGACAGAACGGCAUGGCUGGGCCUGGCCAUCCCACCUCUCACGUGUGCUUCUCAUCUGAUUACCUCUCCCCAGCCCUGAGGAGGGCUUCAUCAAUAAAUUACCAUAGCUCAGAGCCUAAAAUUCAAAUACUAGGCGCUAGCACUGUGGUGCAACAGGUUAAGCCACCAUCUGUGGUGCUGGUAUCCCAUAGCAGAGAUCCAGUUAAAGUCCCAGCUGCUCCACUUCUGAUCCAACUCCCUGCUAAUGUGCCUGGGAAGGCAGUGGAGGAUGGCCCAAGUGCUUGGGCCCCCAACACUCCCAUGGGAGACCCAGAUGGGGUUUCAUGCUCCCAGCUUCAGCCUGGCUCAGCCCUGGCUGUUGCAGCCAUUUGGGGAGUAAACUAGCAGAUGGAAGAUUCAUUCUCUCUCUCU